AUGGUGAAUGCAGCUCAGGCAGAGGACUCGUCAGAUGUCAUCAUGGGUAACCUUCCUGUUAACGAUAUUCCAGCUAAAGUUCUUUUUGACACUGGUGCAUCACAUUGUUUCAUCUCGAGACCUUUUGCAUCUAAGCAUGAUUUUGUUACUCAAGUGUUGCCGAAACCGUUGGCUAUUGUCUCUCCGGCCCAUCAAAUGACAUCUCGAGUAUGCGUUCCGGAUGUUUCAAUCACUUUGGGUGACUAUAAGUUCUUGUCCUUGCCAAAUGUUCUUGGUGACUCGAAUAUUGAUCUUAUUCUCGGAAUGGAUUGGCUUUCUAAGCACAAGGCGCAGCUUGAUUGUGCAGCCAGGCAGAUUCAAUUGACUCAUUCGUCUGAGGAUGUAAUUGUCUUUGCCGCUCGGGAUGAUACCAUCCGCCUGUUUUCUCUCAAUGAGAAGGGUGAACUGGAUGCCAUCUCUCAAAUUCUAGUCGUUUGCGAAUAUCAAGACGUCUUUCCAGAAGAGCUUCCAGGAAUGCCUCCGCACCGGCCAGUUGAAUUCGUCAUUGAUCUUGAGCCUGGCACGGAACCCGUUUGCAAACGCCCUUACAAGCUCGGACCUGAAGAGUUGAAGGAGUUGAAGAAGCAACUCGAUAUUCAAGAGCGAAUGGGUCUCAUCCGACCUAGUUCUUCUCCGUGGGGUUGUGGAGUUCUUUUUGUGAAGAAGAAGGAUGGAACGGACCGACUUUGUGUUGACUACCGUCCAUUGAACAAGAAGACUAUCAAGAACAAGUACCCACUUCCCAACAUCAAUGAGCUGUUCGAACAACUCAGAGGUGCCCAAGUAUUCUCCAAGCUUGAUCUCUGUAUGGGCUAUCACCAGAUUCGGAUCCGUGAGCAAGAUAUUCCCAAGACGGCUUUCAGAACAAGCUAUGGUUCAUAUGAAUACACGGUCAUGUCUUUUUGCCUCGUCAACGCUCCUCCGACUUUCUCUCGCAUGAUGAACUUCAUCUUUGACGCCUACACAAAUGACUUUGUCUUGGUCUAUCUCGACGACAUUCUGGUCUUUUCAAAGAACAAGGAAGAUCAUGCCAAGCACUUGCGUUUGGUGCUCGAUAAGCUCAGGGAACAUCAGUUCUACGCCAAGUUCUCAAAGUGCGAGUUUUGGCUCGAUGAGGUUCUAUAUCUUGGGCAUAUCAUCUUUGCCAAGGGCAUUGCGGUGAAUCCUGAGAAGGUGUCUGCAAUUGUGAAUUGGGAACCACCUCAGAACGUGAAGCAACUCCGCAACUUCCUUGGUCUCGCAAGCUACUAUCGAAGGUUCGUUGAGAACUUUUCAAAGAUCGCGAAGCCUCUUUCAAACCUUCUCUAG
rnacentral:rRNA from 1 species